AUAACCCUGUAACUGCCAAUUAAUGGGACCGUUCUCGAUGAUGACAACCAAGACCAUAACCUCUCUCGACACCAGAGUUGCGAGGAAUGAUUACUUUCGAUAUCAUAUCGCCGUCUUACCCCGCCAAGGAAGGAGUCUGCCGAGCGUGGGUGUGAAGGCGCCUUGAGGAUACCGAGACUCUUCGGUUGCCGGGAGCGAUCACAAUUAGACGGUCCUGCCGAAUUUUCGUGUCGCAUGUUCAAGAAGGCCAGUGGAGCGUCAGUGCGCGAAUAGGGAAAGAUCGCAAGCACAGUAAAGUGAGAGGUUUCUCGUCCGCGUGGGCACUCACACAUACAGCCCGCUGGUUCGUUCUGUCUGUACUGGAUGCACAGUAAAAUGUGGGGAUAGAAAAGCUCUUCUAGUGGACGAGGAAAAUGACUCUACGAACAGGAGCUGUUUGUAUCUAUACAUGUACUAUAUAUUGGAUACAGGAUGUCUCAGCUAACUAUCUCUGUUAUUUUUGGAGAUUUCAAGGUUAUCUUCACUUUUUUAAUUAUAAUUAUAUAUUUUUUUAAGCAUUAGUUAAUGCAGCUCGACAUUUUCUACUUAUGUCGAAAAUUGAUUAGUUUAGCAGAUAUUCAGUGUUAUUUUCCAAUGAGAGUACAUUUACAAAUCGUGAAAACCUUAAUAUACAUCAGACAUGGGCGAGUGGCGACCCGUGGGUCAAAUCUGGCCUGUGGUUCGUCCCUCACACAUUUACGCGACAUGAGAAACGAUUUAACAUUGUUUCUUCUGUCUCCACGCGGGGCUGUCCAUGUUAUAUGUAGCAAUGGAGUAGUAAUAGAAGAGCUUGUGGUCUGCGGCCGAAAUAACUCGCCCAUGCUUGAUAUACGUAAUAUACACUUUUUGAUACAGCAAAAUCCACAAAAUUAAAGUUAAAAUAUCUGCUAAUCUAAUAAAUUUUUAAUAUACAUAAAUUAAUACUUUUUUUGUAGGAAAUGUCGAGCUGCGUCAAUUAAUGUUUAAAAAAUAUAUGAUUAUAAUUAAAAACGUGAAUAUGACCUUGAAAUCUCCGAAAAUUCUCCAGCUGGGAAAAAACUUAUUGUGACCAUAUUAUACAUCUCUCUAAAACACUUUUGUUAAUAAAGCUUUUCAAUACCUCCAAAAAUAA